CUUUUCCUGACCUUCACCUGCUGGUUUGCUGUGACAUCUGAUUACUUGAGGACAGAGAGGUGCCAGUGAAAUCAGUGUUGCGGGCUGAGGUGGCUGCAGAUCCAGAGUCCAGAAAUUGGGGUCCCGUGUUUACUCCUAGUGUGGUUACAAGCUUUCCUUUGAUCUCUCAGAGCCUGUUUCCUUAUCUGUACCCCUGGCCUCACAGUGUUGUAGUCACUGUGGUGAUGGGUAUCAAAGCCCCUCAAUGCAGGUGUCACUGCUGAUGACUGGGCACAGGACACAGGAGCACGAGGGAUUUUUUUUUUUUUUUUUUCCUUGUGGGGGUUGGCAUUGCUAAGAAUUCAUGGCACUUCACAAUUGUUCCUUUGUAAAGCCUGGUUGUCCCUACGGAAAACAUAAAAGACAGUGGUGCACACCUGCCGAAAUACAUCCCUGGCUUAGCCUACAGGGUAUUCGGUUACUGAGCGGAGGCCUAAUGAGCUAGCCUGGCCACAGCUAAGCAGACAUGAUUUCUUCCUGGCACUGAUGCCCUGCUUUGUAGUCCCCGGUAGCUUCUAUCUUGUUCAGUGAACAGUGUCAUAAUAAAGAGCACAGACUUGAGUUUGGAUCCUAGCUCUGUGAUGUGUAGCAGAGUGAGGACAGUAUAUGCAGCUCGUGGAGUUAGUAUGAAGUCUAAGUGAGACCAUUGAUGCAUAAGGAAUGUUUCCUUGGCUAAGCCUUAACAAGUACUUAAUGAAAGGAGGCUAUUUCUGCUGCCACUGUUCUCACCACUCCAGUUCCCAUGGCGUUAGAUGCCCAUUUUAGAGAUAACUGUGGGCAUUUCAGCAGGUGUCAGCAGGGCUAGGACCAGACACACACCCAGUCUACUGCUCUCUGCCAUGCGCUUUGGCGAAGUUACGCUGGCUGGGUCCCCACCUUGGCCUUCUGAUCUCGGGCCCGUGAGGUGGAAAACCACUCUGGUGUUUAUAAAUGGGAAGAUCUGCCUGAACCCCUUUUGGGGUAAGGGAGGGCCUACAUAAAACAGUAUUGGUUGAAACAAAUUGGAAUUCAUGCAGGUUUUUAGCCUGACUUUAACCUAACUGGUUAUGUGUUCCAGAUGAUCUUAUUUGUCUGAGUUUGUCCUUUCCUGCUGUAAAUGAAAUAGAACAGUAAUCCAAGUGGUCUGAUGGCUUGAAUUUCAGACAGGCUUUUUGUUUUGUUUUGUUUUGUUUUGUUUUCUUUUGUUUUGUUUUUUAACUUAACAAUUUUCCUAUACCUUUAAUCCAGAAGAGGAAUUAAAAUUUGAAUCUUGCCAUUUGUGAUGCAAAUAUAUUCUCACCAUGUUUUAAUUUCAGUAUAUGUACAGUUUGAGAUGAGCUGGGAGCGUAGGCCAAAUGAGAGGGAGAGGUCACCUGGAGAAGCAGCAGGCUUCUCACUGGUCUUCAGCUAAGGGAUUGGAUUCACUCCUAUGUCUGGUAAAUGAACCUCACGUCUCCUAUUCAGAGGCGCCCCCUAGAAGUACAAACACUUCUCAAGGUAUAAUCAUCAAUAUGUACUGGGGAUUUGACUUGGAGCUGGACCCGCCAUGAUGUAACAGUUUGAAGUCCUUUCAGGUAGCAUUUUAAAAGGGAAGCUGACUUUUAAACAUUUUGGAGAACUAAGGCCCCGGGGAAAAAGAAAUAUUUGCAACUUUGGCGUUGUGUAUCUCCAAUGAUUUCCGACUUCUACACCGUUAGUCUGAGAGCCGAGAGCGGUCAGCGGUUUCCUCUGUGAGCGCCUGACUGGUGAGGAAACUGCCGUCCCUCCCCUGCACCAGUUAAGCAACAUCUCUGCAAAAGAGAGAAGUUUGGAUAACGGGUCACAGCAAGCCUGGUCCUAUGAAGCUCUCUUUAAGAAUUCUCGUGUUCCAUAGGAUUCUGUCUGUCUCUCUCUGUCUCUCUCUCAACUCAGGACCCGCUGAAAAGGUUGAAAGUUUAUCUUCUUGGUGGAGGGAAUAAAAAAAGAUCAGUUUAUUGUGAUCCAAGCUAGAAAAUAAAUAGAAAACUGAUUUUCGACACUAAUUAUGGAGAAUUUCAAGCUUAGGCAGAAGUGGCAGGCUAGCACACACCCCUGCUGUUCUUUGUCCCAAAGUUUUCCGUCUCUCCCCUGACCUGGUCCUUUGCUCCUACGUGAUUUUAGGUAAAUCUUAGUUAUCCUCUCUUCACAUCUGUCAGAGGAUAUCUUUAAAAGAUAGGAUUCUUGUUUAAAAUAACACUAAUGAAGGGGAGCCUGGGUGGCUCAGUUGGUUACAUGUCUGACUUCGGCUCAGGUCAUGAUCUCACAGUUUGUGAGUUCGAGCCCCACGUUGGGCUCUGUGCUGUCAGUUCAGAGCCUGGAGCCUGCUUCGGAUUCUGUGUCUCCUUCUCUCUCUGCCCCUCCCCCACUCACUCUGUCUCUCAAAAAAUGAAUAAAUGUUAAAAAAAAUUCUUUUAAAAAACACUAAUGAAAAUAGUUUAUGAAAGCCAUAUAUAUGGAUUAGGGGAAAAAAUCAGAAUAUUAUUGAAAUCACCCAUAGUCCUUUUGCCCAAAAUAACCACUGUUAACAUUUUGAUCUGUUUCUUUACAGAUGAGAAAAAAAUUAAUUUUAAGAGCUUUGCCACCUUCCCUGUUCUAUGACCCAGACUUUGUGAGCAACUGAGAUUAUUAGCUUUAUCACAACUCUGAUAAAAUAGAUUAUUAAAGCCACUUUCUCUUUCCUAGACAAAAACCAGUAUAGGCAGAAUUUUAAAAAUAGAUAUAAGAUGGUUAUGCUGUAUGGAAGGAGCCAUGACAGCUUUUUUUUUUUUUUUUUUUUUUAAA